rnacentral:rRNA from 1 species
GUGGGGAAUAUUGGACAAUGGGCGAAAGCCUGAUCCAGCCAUGCCGCGUGUGUGAAGAAGGUCUUCGGAUUGUAAAGCACUUUAAGUUGGGAGGAAGGGCAGUAAGUUAAUACCUUGCUGUUUUGACGUUACCGACAGAAUAAGCACCGGCUAACUUCGUGCCAGCAGCCGCGGUAAUACGAAGGGUGCAAGCGUUAAUCGGAAUUACUGGGCGUAAAGCGCGCGUAGGUGGUUUUGUAAGUUGGAGGUGAAAUCCCCGGGCUCAACCUGAGAACUGCCUCCAAAACUGCAUGACUAGAGUACGUUAGAGGGUAAUGGAAUUUCCUGUGUAGCGGUGAAAUGCGUAGAUAUAGGAAGGAACACCAGUGGCGAAGGCGACUACCUGGACUGAUACUGACACUGAGGUGCGAAAGCGUGGGGAGCAAACAGGAUUAGAAACCCGGGUAGUCC